AUUCUUACAGUACCGUCAAAUUCCCUCACGAGGGAGUGUUUCUUCCUGUAUAAAAGCAGUUUACAACCCAUAGGGCCGUCUUCCUGCACGCGGCAUGGCUGGAUCAGGCUCUCGCCCAUUGUCCAAUAUUCCU
rnacentral:rRNA from 1 species